rnacentral:rRNA from 3 species
AAUCGACCUCAAAUCAGAUGGGAUUACCCGCUGAACUUAAGCAUAUCAAUAAGCGGAGGAAAAGAAACUAACAAGGAUUCCCCUAGUAACGGCGAGUGAAGAGGGAAAAGCUCAAAUUUAAAAGCUGUUGUCUUUCAGGCAACCGCAUUGUAAUCUCAAGAAGUGUUUUCG